CCUACGGGUGACAGCAGUGAGGAAUAUUGGUCAAUGGACGAGAGUCUGAACCAGCCAAGUAGCGUGAAGGAUGACUGCCCUAUGGGUUGUAAACUUCUUUUAUAUGGGAAUAAAAUGUUCCACGUGUGGGAUUUUGUAUGUACCAUAUGAAUAAGGAUCGGCUAACUCCGUGCCAGCAGCCGCGGUAAUACGGAGGAUCCGAGCGUUAUCCGGAUUUAUUGGGUUUAAAGGGAGCGUAGGUGGAUUGUUAAGUCAGUUGUGAAAGUUUGCGGCUCAACCGUAAAAUUGCAGUUGAAACUGGCAGUCUUGAGUACAGUAGAGGUGGGCGGAAUUCGUGGUGUAGCGGUGAAAGGCUUAGAUAUCACGAAGAACUCCGAUUGCGAAGGCAGCUCACUGGACUGCAACUGACACUGAGGCUCGAAAGUGUGGGUAUCAAACAGGAUUAGAUACCCGGGUAGUC
rnacentral:rRNA from 1 species